ensembl:lncRNA
GAAAAUGAAGCUGAAACAAAAUUUGAAGAAGUAAAAGAUACUGUCCAGACGAACCUGUGGUCAAGGUAUGGCAAAAAUGAACUCGAAAUGGCAAUCUUAGAAGCAGAAAAUGCCUUUGAUCAAGCAAAUGGUGUAGUUGUGGAAAGUACUAAUGUGGAGUGCUAUGAAGUGCACCUGACCCUCUUACUGAAGCGGCUAAAGGAGCUCACUCCAGUGAUGUCAGCUUGGGAGCGAUGGAUCCCUGCGUUAUCAAAGGAUGAGCUAGACAACAGAGUCAAGAAUCUGAGAACGGCUAGCAACAGGCUUGAACAUAGAAAAGCUGAAUUCGUCACUGCACGUAGAAUUGCAGAACAAACACUAGCCGCAGAAGCUUCAGGAGCUGGGAGGGGGAGAGCACUGCCCACACCAGCCACACCAAUUGUGAAGAUCAAGCCAACCACUCUGCCCAUCUUCAAUGGAUGCAAAAGAGAAUACCACAGAUGGAGGAAAGACUGGGAGAGCCUACAAAGGCAAGGAGAGCCAACGGGAUCACCUGAAGUCAAGAAAAUUCAGCUCCUGGGUAGUGUGGAGGACAAGAUUUCAAAGGACCUCAGACUUUCAACCAACAACACUGCUGAGGAUAUCUUCAGAGUCAUGGAGAACAGCCAUCAUCGCCGGCAACUCUGGUGACGUCAGCAGCAGGAUCAGCCUCUUCACCACCUUCAGCCUCACCCUCCUCUCCGUGCUCGUCACACGGCCGUGGUAGCUGCCUACAUGAAGGAAAUACGUCCUCCACAGAUACAUGAAGGAAAUAUGUCCUCCUCGAUGUGCAUUCAAUUUGCGCACCCCUGAUGCGCUUAAGGCCUGACAUACUAAAGGGUUGGACUGGACCCAUUUUAUAAUUGCAAUAAAUACUUGUAGGAAGUUAUAAUGUGUCAGUGAUAUAUGAGUAAUCUAUGUACAUGUAAUCUAUUUAAACCCUUAUUUUUCUAUAUAUUGGCCGUAUAAAAUAACUUGUGAAGAAUGUUGAUAUGUUGAAAUGAGAGAGAAUGUGUGUGUGGGUGUGUUUGUUUUUAACUAAAAUCACAAAGGUAGUCCAUAUUCUGUGAUAUCUAUGUUAUGAGUAAUUUGAAGGAGAAUAUUUCACAGGAUGGAUAUUUCUGUAAUUUUAGUUGUUGCACUUUCAGGGACUGGAGUUCACAUGUCUCCUAGAGUCUUAUUGUGGUGGUUUAAGAAAAAGAUGCCUGGAGCAGUCUUAGCCUGUAUGCCUCUGAGACGACAGCAAUAUUUAUAUGAUAAAUUAAAGAAUAAUGAUCAGUCAUCCAGUGUUUGUCCCUUUGUCUCUUUACCCAGAUCUCUCACCUGUGAUAUUAUUUCUCACACAUAUGUGAUUUAUUUGACUUCAUGUGUAAAUAAUAAGUGUGUCAUAAAGACAUGCAUUGCAUCGUAUGAAUAUGAAUGAAUGUUGGUGGUGGUCGGAGGGGCCGUAGGCGCUGAUUGGCAGCCACGCUUCUGUCAGUCUACCCCAGGGCAGCUGUGGCUACUGAUGUAGCUUACCACCACCGGUAUGACUGUGUAUGAAUGAUUACUGGACUCUGGACUCUGUAAAGCGACUUCGGGUAUUUAGAGAAGCGCUAUAUAAGAUUGAAUUGAUUGAUUGAUUGAUGUGUAAAUCAACUCACUAGGAACUCAAAACAAGAACAAUCAACAAUGCAAAGAUAUGCAAACAGCAACUAAUUCAAAACACAACAAUACUUACCUGAACACAUCAAGUUAACAAAGCUGACUAAAAUCACCUUGCCUAUGAUAACCUAUAUAUUUCACUGAAUAGGUAGAGUACAUAAAUGAACAAAGACACACUCAUGUCGUUCAUUGGAGUAUAAAGUAAUAGUAUUUUGAGUGCAUUAAGGGUGUUUUCUUAAUACCACACCCCUGUGUUCUACCUGACGGAAUGGUAUACAACCCCAAAUCAUAAAAAGUUGGAGCGGUAUGUUAAAUUAAAAUUAAAACUGAAAACAGUGAUUUGUAAAUCCUCUUUGAAUUGUAUUGAAAACAAUACAACAGCACAAUAUCUGAUGUUUUACCUUGUGAAUUGUAUAGUUUUAAAAAAAAAAUAAACAUUAAAUUCAAUUUAGAUUCUUGCAACAUAUUUAAAAAAAAACUUGGUACAGUAAAGUAUUUACCACAGUCACCAAGUGAUGAUAUGUUUUAGGUGUAACUUUGUCUAAUUCUUCCUGCAAACAAGUUUUAAGGUGUGCAACGGUUAUAUCCCCAAAGCAGAACUCGUUACAUUUCGCUGUUAUCUUAAAAUCAGGAGAUCUGUAUUAGCGCCUUUAGGCAGAGUAAACAUAACAGAAACACGUAUACAUAAACAAUUCAAGUGUGGUUAUUAACGUAACAAAAAAGUAUCAAUGUUCCUCAUCAUAAAGUCCUUGGAAACAAAUAUUUAAAGUCCCAGCGUGACCCAGUGUUCCGACAGGCCACAGUGUCGGACUCGGCCUGCUUCCUCGAUAAUAAUCAAAAAAGCUCCCGUGUGUAGACGUAAUCCAACCAAAAUAAACAAUCCUCUUCAGAAACAAAAAUAUAUAUCUAUAUUGCCACGUAAACACAAGAACAAAAAAUCCUCCAUAUUCCUGUAGUCCUUAAACUCGCUUUUUGCCCCCCCAGAAACACUGUGGCAUUAAUGACCGAAACUGAGAAGGUCGCACCUAAAAUACAGAACUGAGGAAGUUAUGGUUUUAGCACCUGCUAUUUGAGACAGCAACCUGUCAGCUGGUGGCUUAAAGGGAAGUUGUAUUGUGGGACGUGUUACGGGUCAGGACUCGGUCACGUCCGGCAGCAGUGGCAAGGAAGCCAGCAGCAGCUUGUCAACAUUUAUGUAGGCUACUCCUAUGCUUCUUUCUGUUCUUCUGGGGAAGUGUGUUUGCCCUGUAAGGCUCUGAGGUGUGUUACCGCUUCCCCGGUAUUGCCAGUAUGAAUGUGAUCGGAAUGUGCGGGUGUGGGGGCGAGUGUAUUUUUCUUCUUGUGCUGAAUAUUCUCAUUGCCUUUGCUGUCACGGAGCAAUAGCAGGGUGGUAUGACCUUAAUUAGAUACAAAUAAGUGAUGGUGUUCCCCAAGGCUUGUACCCUACCUUUAGGCUACCCUUGGGUGCACAAUACUUGAAUGCUCUCUCCCCCACCUCCCCAUCAAUUUUAUGUAUGUAUCAUGUUAUGUUUGUAUUUAUUGUGUACAUUUACCACAUGUGAAUUAGCAUGCUCAUCCUGAUACGUGUAUGAAUUAAUCUGCCAUGUUUCUGAUCGUCUCCCCUCCCCUUCUCCUCCCUCCCCUUCUGCCACAAGAACAUGUAGGGGGUAGUAGAGAGCAGGGUGUGCCUACCCCACACACAAACGUCUGGUUACACUAUGCCUAAACACUGAAAAGUAAUGGACUCUCUUAGAAGACAUAGCCUAUGUUGCUUUAGCCUGCACCAUUUAAUGUGAGAUAGACUAGCAUUAUUAUGGCCAAAAUUGUCUAUCAAAUGUUCUUGCGUAGGGUACAUGUUGUGUAUGUCUAUUUUUUGUAAGGAAUUGUCUACCUCUACACCUACGAAUGAUAAUUAUUGCGGUCACUGCAUAGUGACAUCUAUUUAAAAAUGUCAGCACAUUCAGGCUCACAAAGAAACAGAAAGAAAUACAUACCAGCACAUUCAGGCUAACAAGGAAACAGAAACAAAUAUAUUUCUGUUUCCUUGUUUGCCUGAAUGUGCUGAACAUUUAAAAAUAGAUCUCACUAUGCAGUGACCGCAAUAUUAUCAUUCGUAGGUGUAGAGGUAGGCUGUUUCUUUUUUGACCACGUGAGCCUUAUAAACGCGGCGGGAAUACAACCUUAAUCAAACACACUUUUAUUAAUACCGUGGGGCUGUGGUCGUGUCACACGCAGAAAGCAUUGGCGUGCGGGAGCAGGAAAAACAAGCCAAAGUUUAAGAAUGCCCUUGAUCAAUUUAAUAUGAGUCCCACACUUACCAGUUGUAGUGGAGCUUGUUAGUUGUGCAAAAACAUGUAUUAGUAGCCCAAGGCGAUACAUUUCUGGAAGAGAGAAUGCAAAGGCUUAUUAAGACUCGCAGCCGACAGGACAAAGUCCAGAGAGCGUUACCUUCAAGCAAAAUGUAGCUAAAUCAAUCACAACAAAAUACUUACAUACAAUUACAUUAUUACAUAAUUAUAUUUCAGUCAUAUGGUUUACUCAACUACUGUGUAUUAAUCAUACUUUUGCAGAAUUCAAUUUGUAGAAAUUCCAUGGCACUAUAACUCAAAUUGGCCAAUACUGGAAGUUACUCUUUAGCCAGAAAAAGUGGUGCUGGUACCUUAAUUUAUCAUUGUAGUGUAUAUUAUAUUAAUACAGUUAAUCUAUUGUGAUAUUUCAUUAUUUUAUAUUAUAUUAUAACCAUCUCUUUCUCAUUUCAAAACUGAUAGACAUGUCCCUCCAUCUACUGUCCACACGUCAGUGAUAUUUAUUUAUGUUUAUUUAGCAUCAGGCAUCUAUUUCCAUUUAUUCAUUUCAUCUUUUUUUUAAACAAAUUGUUUCCUGUUCCUAAAAGAAUACAGCUACCCCAGUAUAAAAUCUCUAUUCAUGGAAACACAAACAUCACUCUCCACAUUGCAGCAUUAACUUCUAAACCAUUUGUGUCUUGUACGUUGUAUUAUUAAAUCUUGCUUUACAUUUUUUCCCCCAUUUUUCUACCUUUUUUUUACUUCCACUUUUUAACUUAUUUACUUAUUCUUGGUAAUUGGUUAAAGUAUAUUAUAUCCAAAAGAAUGCUGGAUGGUGAAAUGCACAAGAUUUCUUUCCUUGUUUUUUUUUUCCCUUUCCGCUGAAUGACCUUUAAAGGUUUAAGACAUUGGAUAUGGCUCUGCUUCAUCUCUUGUGGUGUUCAGUUAAUAACAAACAUGCCUAAAUAGAUUUUGCUAAUCUUUCAACACAUCUAGCAUAGCAUUGAGCUUCCACAGCAUUCUUUUCAAAUGUGGCCAAACCUCUUAAUUGAGUCCGCCAUGUGUGUUUUACACUGCUGUUGAUUACAUGGAUCGCUGAAAGACAAAAUCUGAUUUUGAGCACUGGGUUUGAACAAGAAUAAUGUCAUCUGAAUGGUUCUGGAGUCAUGGCCCAUUUAAUUGCCAACGGUUCAGGUUAUAACCGUCAAAAAAAUAUGUUUAUAACUUAAUUAAUAAAUGCAUUUUAUAAUAGAACAUAUAGUUACAAGAUGUUUGGGUUAGGUUUAGAGAAAUAUUACUUUACGUGGAGUAUUAACUUGAGAAGUACACACUAUUUGUCCUAAAUUAAUUAUGUAUGUGUUCACUGCUUGUUUUUUUUCUGUAUGUCUUCGGUGUUAAUAAUCGGACGGCGUGUGUUAUCCGCAAACGUUCGCGUUGUCAUGUUUACCCAUUAUUAAAUUGAGCAUAUCGAUUGUUAAUCCAUUAAUAAACUUAGCAUUGUGAUUGUUUAACACAAUGGCCGAUGUUUGACAUUGAGCUAAGCUAUGUGUGUUAAUCAUAUGCCUUUGUGAGCUGAAAAAUGACAUUUCAUUUCUGUGUGUGUGUGAAAGCAAAGGCUGAUAAGAAUAACUAGUAGUCUUCUUUCUAUAUAAACCUUGUGUGAUGUGUUUAAUUUUGCUUCUCUCUUGUCUGCUGCAGUCUGGGGGGUGAUCCAGGGCGCUCUCUCUCUCUGAGAGUCGGCCCGUGCCUCUGUCUUGUCUGCCAAGACAUGAGUUAGCCUGAUGCGCUUGUUGUUGUUGAAUAAAUAUACUUAUAUGCAAUUCUGGAGUCCUGAGGUAACUUGAGUGAAUUUUCACCUAACACAGUCUUUAACUGGCCAGAAUCAGACACCACCGCUGAACUGCCAUCUAUUUUAAGUAAGGAAUUUUUUUGGGCAAGUACGUAUUGACCUGUAGUAAUUACCAAGAUAUUAGUUGGAAUGAUAAUUAAUUACAGAAUGAGAAUUAAAGAUGUUGAUUCCGGAACUGUGACCAUACAUUAGGCCUAAUGAAUGAAUGCUUGACCAAAACUGUGAUCUCUUCCAUGGGAACAGAGGUAGGAACAGCAAGAGCUCAGGAGACUAUAGCAGGGUUUCUACUUACACUGUGUGCAGAUAUGACAGUGCACAUUUUUACACAUGAUGACCUCAGAGUUGGUGAUGUGUCUUGUUUAACAAAUAAUGAUUCAUGGAUUGGAAUAUUUGAAAUGAGUCCUUGUUUUCUGCACUAAUGUGAGCAUUGAUUGCUAUUAUUCUAGAGCGUCCCUCACCAGAUGUAACCUCAGUGUCCAUGGGGGCUCGGUUUUAUAUUUAACUGUCA